rnacentral:rRNA from 1 species
AGAGUUUGAUCCUGGCUCAGGAUGAACGCUGGCGGCGUGCUUAACACAUGCAAGUCGAACGGUGAAGCCAAGCUUGCUUGGUGGAUCAGUGGCGAACGGGUGAGUAACACGUGAGCAACCUGCCCUGGACUCUGGGAUAAGCGCUGGAAACGGCGUCUAAUACUGGAUAUGAGCCCCUAUCGCAUGGUGGGGGUUGGAAAGAUUUUUUGGUCUGGGAUGGGCUCGCGGCCUAUCAGCUUGUUGGUGAGGUAAUGGCUCACCAAGGCGUCGACGGGUAGCCGGCCUGAGAGGGUGACCGGCCACACUGGGACUGAGACACGGCCCAGACUCCUACGGGAGGCAGCAGUGGGGAAUAUUGCACAAUGGGCGAAAGCCUGAUGCAGCAACGCCGCGUGAGGGAUGACGGCCUUCGGGUUGUAAACCUCUUUUAGCAGGGAAGAAGCGAAAGUGACGGUACCUGCAGAAAAAGCGCCGGCUAACUACGUG